rnacentral:rRNA from 1 species
GACAGAGGGUGCAAACGUUGUUCGGAAUUACUGGGCGUAAAGCGUGUGUAGGCGGCCACGUAAGUCGGAUGUGAAAGCCCCAGGCUCAACCUGGGAAGUGCACUCGAUACUGCGUGGCUUGAGUAUCGGAGAGGUUGGUGGAAUUCUCGGUGUAGAGGUGAAAUUCGUAGAUAUCGAGAGGAACGACCGGUGGCGAAGGCGGCCAACUGGACGAAGUACAUGACGCUGGAGGAGCGAAAGCCGUGGGGAGCGAACAGG